rnacentral:rRNA from 1 species
UUCUUGAAAAUUAAUAAAGAUGGCGGUAUUUUAGUCCAUUCAGAGGAACCUGCCCUGUAAUUGAUAUUCCACGAUUUAAUUUACUUGGGGUUUUAGUUUAUAUAUCGCUGUAGGUUGAAUAUUUCUAUUGAAUUCUUAAUAUUCAAAAGUUUUAUGGAAAGUAAAUCAAGUCAAGAUGUAGCUUAUAUUCAAGAAGAGGUGGGUUACAUUAUAUUUAAAUGUAGCUGAUUUUUUGUGUAAAAAUUCAAAAAAUGGAUUUGAAGGUAAUUUAUUAUUAAAAUUUAAUAAAUGAUUUUGGCUCUAGAAUAUGUACAUAUCGCCCGUCGCUUUCACUUUAAGGUGAAAUAAGUCGUAACAUAGUAGAUGUACUGGAAAGUGUCUCUAGAAGACAAAUUAAAGCUUUUAAGAAGCGUUUUAUUUACAUUAAAGAGAUUGUUCAUUUAUAGAUAUAGUUUGAAUAAACUGUUUUCUUUAAAUUAUUAGGGUUUUGAGUAAUUGUAAAAAAAAUAAUUUUGGUUUUAGUAGUUAAUUUGAAUAAAUAUUUUUAGAGAUAGUGAAUUAGUAUUGUAAAAGAAUAUUUUAUUGUUGUAAAAGAAAAAUUCAGGUUUCUUAAAUAUAUCUUAUAUUAUAGUUUUCUCGAAUUUGCAAAGAGUUAUUAUAUUAUUGGUUCUCAAUGUAUCAAUAUUAUUCAACAUAAUAGAAUAGGUGAAAUGCCAAUCGAUUUCAAUUAUAUCUAGUCUCUUGAGAAAGAAAUUUAAUUUUAUUCUAUUUUAUUAUUUUUUUUAUUUUUUAAUAUAAUAAUGGAUAGAUUGAAUAAUUUAGGGGUUGAGCUUUAAAUUAAAUUAAUAAAAUUUAUUUAUUAUUAAUAGUCUAUAAGGAGGAUUUAAAGAAUCUUUUAAAGUGGUUUAUACCUUGAUAAUUAAUUUUUAAGAUUUGAUAAUAUUAGUAUUUAUGUUUUUUAUCAAAAUUUAAAUUUGAAUAGUCGAAGUUUAGGAAAUAUGGUAGAAUUAGUAUAGAAAAAGUUAUUUAUUAUUAAAACUGAAAGGUUUAAUUAAGGAAUUCGGCAAAAUAAUUUCUCACCUGUUUAUUAAAAACAUGGCCUUUUGAUUAUAAUUUAAGGUCUAGCCUGCCCUAUGAUUAUUAAUUAAAUGGCCGCGGUAUAUUGACCGUGCAAAGGUAGCAUAAUCACUAGUUUUUUAAUUGAAAGCUUGCAUGAAAGGUUGGAUGAAGAAAUUUCUGUCUCAAUUAAAAUUUUCUAGAAUUUUAUUAUUUAGUAAAAAGGCUAAGAUAUAUAUAAAAGACGAGAAGACCCUAUAGAGUUUAAUAAUUUAAAUAGAAUCGGUUAUUAGUAUUUUU